rnacentral:rRNA from 1 species
UACGAAGGGGGCUAGCGUUGCUCGGAAUCACUGGGCGUAAAGGGUGCGUAGGCGGGUCUUUAAGUCAGGGGUGAAAUCCUGGAGCUCAACUCCAGAACCGCCUUUGAUACUGAAGAUCUUGAGUUCGGGAGAGGUGAGUGGAACUGCGAGUGUAGAGGUGAAAUUCGUAGAUAUUCGCAAGAACACCAGUGGCGAAGGCGGCUCACUGGCCCGAUACUGACGCUGAGGCAUGAAAGCGUGGGGAGCAAACAGG